GAGCAGGGAGAGGCUGGAGGGGCAGCCCUGUCUGCCCUUCGCUUUCAGGUGACCUGGGUGCAUUGCUGAGAUGGUGGCUUUGCUGGAAUCUUCUUCUGCCUUAUGAAAGAAACUGCCCUCUUCUGAAACAGCCUCCUGGUAAGGGUAGACCUUUUCCCUUCAAAACUCUCCUUUCCUAAGGCAGUGGAUAUGUUUAUUCCUGGGAAGAAUUGGGAGGAUACCCACUUCUUCUCUGCUGACUACUACAGCUCAGAUUUAAAGUCAAGACACAUCCUCUCCCUUAAGAUCAAUACUCAGAGGUGAGGAAUAUCAUUCUGCUGCAAAGGAAAAGGCAAGAACAAUCCAUUGGAGAAGAAGAAGAAGAUGGUAACAUCUGUUUCAGGAAGCUUGAACUGACCAUCCAG